UACAUGGGGUGCAAACGUUGCUCGGAAUUACUGGGCGUAAAGCGUGCGCAGGCGGCUAUGCAAGACAGAUGUGAAAUCCCCGGGCUCAACCUGGGAACUGCAUUUGUGACUGCAUGGCUAGAGUACGGUAGAGGGGGAUGGAAUUCCGCGUGUAGCAGUGAAAUGCGUAGAUAUGCGGAGGAACACCGAUGGCGAAGGCAAUCCCCUGGACCUGUACUGACGCUCAUGCACGAAAGCGUGGGAGCAAACAGG
rnacentral:rRNA from 1 species